UAACCAGGCCCAUCCCCAACCCGGACUCCCCCCAACCCACCGGCUCUCUCUUCCCCGAUAGCUUGCCAUCAGAUCUGCAAUGUUUUGCUGAGUUCCUUGCUCAUCCAUCCUCAUCCAAUCUCCUGUAGCCAUCAGUUCCUCGUUGGUUCCUUCUCCGUCCAUCUGCCGGAGAGCCGCACUCUCCCGUCCAUCCUCGUCCAUGAAUUUGUCGCCUGUGCCUGCUCCGUCCAGUCUCCGGUAGCUAGCAGUUCAUCUCUCUUACCUAAUGCAUGCUUAUUCCCCUUUGACUGCCGCCAUCGAUCUCCAACCAAUCUACCGUCAUCCGAAACAUAGUUUCUCAAGCUUUAUCAAUCGGUCCUAAUUGUAUCCCCUGGGGAUUCACUGCGAAUCUGAUUCGGCACCGCGUUAAAAAUGGAUGAUUUUCUGGAGAUAGACUAUGUGCCCCAGCCAGGAUAUUUUCUGGGCCUGCUGAACAGUGUACAUAAUACUUGGAAUCCAGAGAUUAAUGGAUAAGUAAUUAACUAACCAUUACUAAACCAAAAUUAGCAUAUUGCCCAACUCUGUCAGAAUUUUGUUAUGCAUAUGUUGUAUGAUUAAGUAGUUAGAUAAUACUAUAAUCCAGUUCUUGUAAAUUUCUGUUGACAUUGCAAAUUGCAGCUUUGCGUUUAUUUUUGUAACUAUGACUUGGCUGAGAAAUUAUUGGUUUGGCUUCUGCAUAAUGAGUCCGAAGAAUUGGACAGGGUAUGGAUAAUGCACACGCAUCCAAGGCAUAUCGAAAUAAUCGGACAUGCAUUGAAGAACAUCAUAAUUAAAGGGCUGCCUUUCACAUAUGAGUUAUUCGAUUUAUCGGCAAGACGUUUGGGUCAGUUGGAUCGUUGGAUGUAUGGACCUGGGACGAUGUUGUGCUUUAGACACAUCUUUGAGUCUGAUUUUGCGAUGAUGGUUUUGGAAAACGAAGAUCCUUUGUGUUAUCGCUCAAUUUGUGACCAGUUCAUCGCUCAAGCAUCGUAAUAUGACAUAUCUGAAUGCCGGAUGCUUUCUGUGCCUGCUCUUGUAACGAAGACAUGGUGUGGAUAUUUUUGGGACAUGGAGCUUCAUUGCGUUCACAUCCUAGAUCCAACAUUACAUAGGACAAGAGCUGAAGAACUGCGUAUGUUGCAUGAUUACAAUGUUAAUAAGAUUCAGAAAGCGUUAUCAACUUGCAUAUCUGCUAUGUUCAAUGGGUGGAACAUAAAUUUUACUGACUGGCCGAAUAACUAUGUGAAGCCAAUUAUCGCAGGAGCUACCAACCGGGAAUCGGGCAUAUUGACUCUCUUGGGGAUUCGCGACUUCAAUGGGACGGAGUUUGUGAAGGACCAUGACGAGGAAUCCCGUUAACAAUUUCAAGGUUUUUCUGCUGUUUGAAGACCUCUCGAUCGUCGACAACAGUGCUAUGCUACCUUCAGGGUAUUUACAGAGUAUCGAUGAUUGAAAGAUCCUGAUGUAUGACCUGCUCGUUGUUGGCUACUGUAUGCCUAUAGUCUUUAGAACUUCUUCGCGUGUAUCUUAGUGGACAUGGCGUUCUACCUGGACAUGGCGAACUUCUUCGCGUGCAUUUUGCAACAUCUAAUAGUGCAUUUGAACAAAAAAAAUAUCGUUGUAGUACUUUUAUGUAACGAAUGACACUAUGUUUUGUAAUGUUUAUAUGAUGACUGUGUCUAGUUUGUUAUCCAUAUAAGUUAGCUGGUUA